rnacentral:tRNA from 1 species
AAUAAGGUGGCUGAGUAGGAGGCGAUAGAUUGUAAAUCUAAGAAGAAGUUUAAACUUCCUUAUUA